rnacentral:rRNA from 1 species
UACAGAGGUCUCAAGCGUUGUUCGGAAUCACUGGGCGUAAAGGGUGCGUAGGCUGCUCGGUAAGUCAGAGGUGAAAUCCCGGGGCUCAACCCCGGAAUUGCCUCCGAUACUGCCGUGCUUGAGGACUGGAGAGGAGUCUGGAAUUCACAGUGGAGCAGUGAAAUGCGUAGAUAUUGUGAGGAACACUAGUGGCGAAGGCGAGACUCUGGACAGUUCCUGACGCUGAGGCACGAAGGCCAGGGGAGCAAACGGG